rnacentral:rRNA from 1 species
UACGAAGGGGGCAAGCGUUGUUCGGAAUUACUGGGCGUAAAGGGCGUGUAGGCGGCCUGCUAAGUCGAACGUGAAAUCCCCGGGCUCAACCCGGGAACUGCGUCCGAUACUGGUUGGCUUGAAUCCGGGAGAGGGAUGCGGAAUUCCAGGUGUAGCGGUGAAAUGCGUAGAUAUCUGGAGGAACACCGGUGGCGAAGGCGGCAUCCUGGACCGGCAUUGACGCUGAGGCGCGAAAGCCAGGGGAGCAAACGGG